rnacentral:misc_RNA from 1 species
UUAAAUACAAACAGUUUCAUAAUUAGAGCAGAUUUUCUAAGAGAGAUAAAGAAACAGAUAAAGAAAUGUUUCAUCGAUAUACUGCAGAUGUUGAUGGAUUUAUAGAAAAUCUCAAAAUUCAGAAACUAUAAAAAUAUGAAAUAUGCAAAAUUAUUCAUUAUAAUAAUAGCUAUAGCUUCCAUUAAAACUGAAAUAAUAAACUUUAUGAAUGAAAUAGGCUGCCAUUCAACUUUCAUAUCUUCAGAAGUAUACUUGGAAUUAUGUUACGAAUGUCAGGAUUCCACCACGAUUAUUG